GGGAAAGUGGCUCAGUGGCAGAGCUCUUGCCUUGCAUGCAUGAGGCCCUGGGUUCGAUUCCUCAGCACCA
rnacentral:tRNA from 1 species